rnacentral:rRNA from 1 species
UACGAAGGGGGCUAGCGUUGCUCGGAAUCACUGGGCGUAAAGGGUGCGUAGGCGGGUCUUUAAGUCAGGGGUGAAAUCCCCGGGCUUAACCUGGGAAUGGCAUUUGGGACUGCAAGGCUUGAGUGCGGCAGAGGAGACUGGAAUUCCUGGUGUAGCAGUGAAAUGCGCAGAUAUCAGGAGGAACACCGAUGGCGAAGGCAGGUCUCUGGGCCGUAACUGACGCUGAGGAGCGAAAGCGUGGGGAGCGAACAGG